GUUUCCAUAGUGUAGUGGUUAUCACAUUCGUCUAACACGCCAAAGGUCCCCAGUUCGAAACUGGGUGGAAACA